rnacentral:tRNA from 1 species
GGGAAGGUAGCUCAGUGGUAGAGUGCUUGCCUUUCAUGCAUAAGGCCCUGGGUUCGAUUCCUGAGCACCA